AUACUUACCUUAUUCCGGUGUCUGGGGAUCAAGAAUCCUGGACACCAGGUCGGGUGGCCUGCAUUGCACUUCGCGGAGUUGCCUGGCUUCGAUUGUCCUUCGGGGCCAUCGGGGGUGGAAUUUUUGAUUUUUCUAUUCACAAUGGAU
rnacentral:snRNA from 14 species